rnacentral:rRNA from 1 species
UACAGAGGUGGCAAGCGUUGUUCGGAAUUACUGGGCGUAAAGGGCGCGUAGGCUGCCCCGAAAGUCAGGUGUGAAAGCCCUGGGCUCAACCCAGGAAGUGCACUUGAAACUUCGGUGGCUUGAGUUCUGGAGAGGAUGGCGGAAUUCUCGGUGUAGAGGUGAAAUUCGUAGAUAUCGAGAGGAACACCGGUGGCGAAGGCGGCUAUCUGGACAGUGACUGGCGCUGAGACGCGAAAGCGUGGGGAGCAAACAGG